rnacentral:rRNA from 1 species
GGAGGAAAAGAAACCAACAGGGAUUCCCCUAGUAACGGCGAGUGAAGCGGGAACAGCUCAAAUUUGAAAUCUGGCCCUUGGGUCCGAGUUGUAAUUUGCAGAGGAUGCUUUUGGUGCGGUGCCUUCCGAGUUCCCUGGAACGGGACGCCUUAGAGGGUGAGAGCCCCGUACGGUUGGCCACCAAGCCUGUGUAAAGCUCCUUCGACGAGUCGAGUAGUUUGGGAAUGCUGCUCAAAAUGGGAGGUAUAUUUCUUCUAAAGCUAAAUACUGGCCAGAGACCGAUAGCGCACAAGUAGAGUGAUCGAAAGAUGAAAAGCACUUUGAAAAGAGGGUUAAAUAGCACGUGAAAUUGUUGAAAGGGAAGGAUUUAUGACCAGACUUUUUCUGGGGGGAUCAUCCGGUGUUCUCACCGGUGCACUUCCCCCAGUUGAGGCCAGCAUCGGUUUCUGCCGGGGGAUAAAAGCUUUGGGAAUGUGGCUCCUUCGGGAGUGUUAUAGCCCGUUGCAUAAUACCCUGGCGGGGACCGAGGUUCGCGCAUUGCAAGGAUGCUGGCGUAAUGGUUAUUAAUCACCCGUCUUGAAACACGGACCAAGGAGUCGAACAUUUGUGCGAGUGUUUGGGUGUUAAACCCUCACGCGUAAUGAAAGUGAACGGAGGUGAGAGCCUUUAGGGGUGCAUCAUCGACCGAUCCUGAUGUCUUCGGAUGGAUUUGAGUAAGAGCAUAACUGUUCGGACCCGAAAGAUGGUGAACUAUGCGUGGAUAGGGUGAAGCCAGAGGAAACUCUGGUGGAGGCUCGCAGCGGUUCUGACGUGCAAAUCGAUCGUCAAAUCUGCGCAUGGGGGCGAAAGACUAAUCGAACCAUCUAGUA